AUUGAACGCUGGCGGCAGGCCUAACACAUGCAAGUCGAACGCGUGGCGGACGGGUGAGUAAUGUCUGGGAAACUGCCUGAUGGAGGGGGAUAACUACUGGAAACGGUAGCUAAUACCGCAUACCAUCAGAUGUGCGCAGGUUGGAUUAGCUUGUUGGUGGGGUAACGGCUCACCAAGGCGACGAUCCCUAGCUGGUCUGAGAGGAUGACCGGCCACACUGGAACUGAGACACGGUCCAGACUCCUACGGGAGGCAGCAGUGGGGAAUAUUGCGCAAUGGGCGAAAGCCUGAUGCAGCCAUGCCGCGUGAAUGAAGAAGGCCUUCGGGUUGUAAAGUACUUUCAGCGGGGAGGCGUUACCCGCAGAGGAAGCACCGGCUAACUCCGUGCCAGCAGCCGCGGUAAUUC
rnacentral:rRNA from 1 species